rnacentral:tRNA from 1 species
GGCUCGUUGGUCUAGGGGUAUGAUUCUCGCUUUGGGUGCGAGAGGUCCCGGUUUCAAAUGCCGGAUGAGCCC